UCGUACUGGUCGAUUAGGAAACUCAUCAAUGAAUAGAUAAAUUCCGAGACAAGCUUACCGUUACCAAUGGCGGGUCACACCUUUCGGGGUUGCUUCAGGGCACAGUGAAUUACAAAGGAGCGGAGCACUCAAAUCCUGUUACACGGAGUUUCGUCUUUAUCUUUCAGUACGAUUUUA
rnacentral:sRNA from 1 species